UACGGAGGGUGCAAGCGUUAUCCGGAUUCACUGGGUUUAAAGGGUGCGUAGGCGGGCAGGUAAGUCCGUGGUGAAAUCUCUGAGCUUAACUCAGAAACUGCCAUGGAUACUAUCUGUCUUGAAUGUUGUGGAGGUAAGCGGAAUAUGUCAUGUAGCGGUGAAAUGCUUAGAUAUGACAUAGAACACCCAUUGCGAAGGCAGCUUACUACACAAUUAUUGACGCUGAGGCACGAAAGCGUGGGGAGCGAACAGG
rnacentral:rRNA from 1 species